rnacentral:rRNA from 1 species
UAAGGAAUAUUGGUCAAUGGACGAAAGUCUGAACCAGCCAUGCCGCGUGGAGGAUGAAGGCCCUCUGGGUUGUAAACUUCUUUUAUAGGGGACGAAAAAGGGUCUUUCUAGAUCAACUGACGGUACCCUAGGAAUAAGCACCGGCUAACUCCGUGCCAGCAGCCGCGGUAAUACGGAGGGUGCAAGCGUUAUCCGGAUUCACUGGGUUUAAAGGGUGCGUAGUUGGGUUAGUAAGUCAGUGGUGAAAUCUUCGAGCUUAACUCGGAAACUGCCAUUGAUACUAUUAGUCUAGAAUAUUGUGGAGGUUAGCGGAAUAUGUCAUGUAGCGGUGAAAAGCUUAGAUAUGACAUAGAACACCAAUUGCGAAGGCAGCUGACGAAACUAUAACUGACACUGAGGCUCGAAAGUGAGGAGAUCAAACA